AUGGAUGAAGCUGUCUACAAAUGCUCGGCCAUCACACCAAAUGGAAGAGAUCAAAGUACAAUAAAGCAAAUAGUAGAAGACUCUGAAAUGCCCCAGGUGCAGUUUGAUAUGAUUGAUGAUGAGGACGUGGCCACAUGCGUCUCCAAGGGCUGGUACCUCAUGCCCAAUGUUACCUGGUUGGACCGGGCAGAGAGGGACCUAAGCAACCACAGUACAGUGGGGGUCCUGGAAGAGCAGAUGAAUGCCUUCUACAGGGUGUUCUCUGUCCUGAAAUACUCCGUCAAGUUAGAUGAGAAAUAUGUCUGCCACACAACAGAGACAGAUGUGAACAACCAGCCCUUCAGAAUCAUCCACAAGUACCCAAGUGAGUUCAAGCAGGAUGCAUUUCACCACAAAGAAGCCAUCAUUCAGUAAUAUCCACCAGAUGCCAAAUGUAUCAGUCACUUCUGGGCACUUUGGAGAUUUAAAGAAACUCAGGAACAGAAGCCUACAGCUUUUGGGCAAGGGAGGGUGAUGAGGUAGAAUCUCUCUGGGUUUGAAGAAAGGCCACACUGACAGCUUUCAUGCAGAUCAGUGUGGCUAUUACUACUGGUGAGGCUUCUCUCCCUCUGGUAAGGAUGUCAGCUUUAUGACAUGACAGUCUGAGUAGGCAUGGCUGCCGUUGAUCAGCCUCUCACCCUGUGCCUGGCACUCUACUUACAUCAUUUUAAGUCAUUGCCCUGAACCUGCAAGGUAAUUGUUAGUGCUGUCCCCCUCCUGUGUGAAGGAACCAAGAUGGCAAAUAGUUUGACCAAGGACAUGGCUAGUAAGCAUAUGAGUUAGAAUUCAAAUCCAUUCUUUCUGAAUCCAAAAUUCAUGUACUUUUUUUUCGUAUGUGCUUAGUCUCUCAGUCAUAUCCAACUCUUUGUGACCCAUGGACUGUAGCCUUCCAGGCUCCUCUGUCCAUGGGGAUUCUCCAGG
rnacentral:lncRNA from 1 species